UACGUAGGGUCCGAGCGUUGUCCGGAAUUACUGGGCGUAAAGAGCUCGUAGGUGGUUUGUCGCGUUGUUCGUGAAAACUCACAGCUCAACUGUGGGCGUGCGGGCGAUACGGGCAGACUGGAGUACUGCAGGGGAGACUGGAAUUCCUGGUGUAGCGGUGGAAUGCGCAGAUAUCAGGAAGAACACCCGUGGCGAAAGCGGCUCUCUGGGACGGUACUGACGCUGAGACGCGAAAGCGUGGGGAGCGAACAGG
rnacentral:rRNA from 1 species